UCACGCGUUCUUGAACAUGCGUAGCUAGUCUAGUCGUUUUCAAUGGAAGGAGCACCUAGUUUUGAAGUGUUCAUUGCGUGACUACGGAAGCCGACUCUCACGUAAUUUGGAUACAAAGAACAAGUUUCGGAAUGUAUUUCACAUGUUAGAGGUGGUUGCUUCAGAUGAGAGAGUUUCUGAUGGAUGAGAGAGUGGUUGUGAUUCACUAACUGUAACACUUCUUGGCUCUGUCAAUAUAGAAAACUAUUCAUCAGCGGACACAAUGUAUUAAACAGCAUGAAUGUUACUUAGCAUUCAACAAUAAGAGAAGUGUUUUGAGAACUUACCCUGAACAAUGAUAUUUUCAAUCUCUUUUCUCUUCGUGGACAGUUCUUGGCAAAUGGCAAACUAAACAAUGAGUGUGAACAAUGUGGGAUACCAGUCUUCGGCUCCAAGGCAUGGGUUACUGUUCAA